rnacentral:tRNA from 1 species
GUUUUUGUAGUUGAAUAACAACGGUGGUUUUUCAAGCCACAGGUCUUGGUUAGAGCCCAGGCAGGAAUC